GUUGAGUCUGGUACUUCCCAAUGACUAGUUGAACUGAACACACAGGUGUACGCAGUUCAGUGAACAGGUGAACUGGUGUUUUGCAUACAGGUGUUUUGCCUAGUUUUAAUUAUUCCCAUGUUUCCCCUGCCUUCUUAGUCCUGUAUUACAGCUGGUCUUUCCGCCCACAGUGUAUUUGCAGGCACCAAGAUGGCUCCGUCUAGAAGAUUUUGCUUCAGUUUUUCUUUGACCUUCAACUGACUGCUCUCAGUGCUUAUAGUUUGGAUCAAGGUGCAUGGAAUAGAAGAUUUUAUACUCAUAAGUUAUAGCCAACAGUGAACAUCUUCUGAUCUGUUCAUGGCUUACCACUGAUUGCUCUGUUUUUCAUCCUCUUUGUCUUGAGGAAAUCUGCCUAUUUAGCAGCUUUCAGUGUGAAAGUGAAAGUGAAGUCGCUCAGUCGUGUCCGACUCUGUGACCCCGUGGACUGUAGCCUAUCAGGCUCCUCCGUCUAUGGGAUUUUCCAGGCAAGAGUGCUGGAGUGGAUUGCCAUUUCCUUCUCCGGGGGAUCUUCCUGAUCCAGGGAUCGAACCUGGGUCUCCCACAUUGCAGGCAGACGCUUUACUGUCUGAGCCACCAGGGAAGCCCACCAGGGAAGCUUUCAGUAUUCUGCAGAGACCCCGGGUGGCCCAGCCUGACUAGAGAAGCUCACAAAGUGACUCACAACACUGGAGGAGCUGCAGGUCCGCCCUUGGCUCUGUUUUCCUCAUGAAGAACUGUGUUCUCAAGGGAGACCUCUUGAAUUUUCCAGGCAAGGAUACUGGAGUGGGUCACCAUUUCCUGUUCCAGGGGAUCUUCCCACCCGAGGGAUCGAACCUGUGUUUCUUGUGUCUGCUGCAUUUGGCAGGCAGAUUCUUUACCAUUUACCCCUUGGGACGCCUGUGGUCAUUGUGUCGGCAGAUCUUUUACUUUUCUAAUGUGGUCUGUCUUGGUCUCUGUGGUGGAAGGGAUAUGCUUCAGCCUUGCUCCUGUGUUGCAGGAUUUUCUCAGCCAUGUAUUGUCCAAUAGUAGUUGUUACUUAUUCUUAUGAUGCGGAGAGGAAAUCAGGAAAGACUUAUCUUGGUGAUGCCACCUGUUAUUUAUAGGUAGUAAAAUUUGGUUUUUGUAUAUAGUAUUCUGUUAUUGAAUAUUAUUCUUUUGAUUUAUUUUAACCAUUUGUUAAUGUAAAAACUGAUCUUAGCUCAUGGGCUGUACAGAGGCAGGAAAAGGCUGGAUUUGGCCUGUGGACUGUCGUUUACCAUGUCAACUACUCCAACUGAGUAUUUCUGAGUUGUUCUUUGUCACAGUCUGACACGCAGAAAAAUAUGAGGAAACAAGAGGAACGUAAGGGGAAAAUCUCCAAAGUAAGCUGAUUGUGUGAAAAGAGGGAUUGCCUGCUGGGAAAUGUUCACCCUGAGGAUAUUCUUGGUAAAAAAAUAAGAAAUGGCAAGGAAAUGAACUGCAAGAUGGGUUAGAUAUUUUUCUCAUUUCUCCUUUUAUUUUUUUCGUUUGAUGGAUUUCAAGCUUCACAAUGGAAACUGCUAUCACCUCCUUAUUUCAUAAACAGACUGCAAAAGGAGUUAGAAAUACCGUUUUGAAGUCAUCCAACUCCUCUGGUAUACAUGCACUGCAGCAUAUUUAUAUCUUCCUGAUGGCCUUUUCACCUCCCAUGCUAAUCGUGAAUUAAAUUUUUGUCUCAAAGAAGCAGAGCAGCGUAAGAUUUUCUGAAAAAUUGAGACAAACAGUGCUAAUGUCAAGCAAGUGAUUUCUUCAGAGUGCUUUAGGAAGAGGAAGAAAUAAAUGAAGGUUGUUGAAUAGCUACUAUAAACUAAAUAUUAUGUUCGUACGUGUGGAAUGCUUGGCAUACGUGUUUAGCACAGAGUCAACACUAAAUACAUUAAACAUACUGUAUCAGUUAUAAUUAUUACAGUCUUUUUUGAUCUUAAAACAGCCAUGCAAUCGAAAUACUAUGAUGUCUGCCUUGCACUUAGAGAAAAUAAGGAUUGUGAGAGUAAGUAAUUUUUCUCAUGUUACAUAAUUAGUAAGUGGUAGCACUGGCUACAUGGUAGGCUCUCAAUAAGUAUUUGCUGAAUUUUUUUUUUUUUUUUGUGAUGAGGACACUUGGCAUG
ensembl:lncRNA